rnacentral:rRNA from 1 species
AGACCCGAAACCCGGUGAUCUAGCCAUGGGCAGGUUGAAGGUUGGGUAACACUAACUGGAGGACCGAACCGACUAAUGUUGAAAAAUUAGCGGAUGACCUGUGGCUGGGGGUGAAAGGCCAAUCAAACCGGGAGAUAGCUGGUUCUCCCCGAAAGCUAUUUAGGUAGCGCCUCGUGAAUUCAUCUCCGGGGGUAGAGCACUGUUUCGGCUAGGGGGCCAUCCCGGCUUACCAACCCGAUGCAAACUGCGAAUACCGGAGAAUGUUAUCACGGGAGACACACGGCGGGUGCUAACGUCCGUCGUGAAGAGGGAAACAACCCAGACCGCCAGCUAAGGUCCCAAAGUCAUGGUUAAGUGGGAAACGAUGUGGGAAGGCCCAGACAGCCAGGAUGUUGGCUUAGAAGCAGCCAUCAUUUAAAGAAAGCGUAAUAGCUCACUGGUCGAGUCGGCCUGCGCGGAAGAUGUAACGGGGCUAAACCAUGCACCGAAGCUGCGGCAGCGACGCUUAUGCGUUGUUGGGUAGGGGAGCGUUCUGUAAGCCUGUGAAGGUGUGUCGUGAGGCAUGCUGGAGGUAUCAGAAGUGCGAAUGCU